UGUCUGGAUGAGGUGCAAUCGUACAUUCUUGUUGAAAGGUCUCUUGAGAACAAAGAUGUAGCUCUUGACUCUAUACUGCACGAGUAUUUUCAUGCGGUGAUUAUUCACUAUUACGUUGAACGCCAGUGCCUGCUGAAGUGCAUGAGGAGUAUUCUCACACAUGCUUCGUCUCUGGCGAAGCUAAUGCUAUUAAGGAGGAAGUACUAAAGUUGAUUUCUGACGGAAUGGAGGUGAAGCUGAUAAAUGUGCUGCAAGUCCUUUUCUACUCCGAUCACCCUGAACAAUUGGAUAUUGACCUUUUCACUUUG